AAAUUUUUUUCAAUCCGCCUCUUUCUUUCCUGUUUCUUCUUCGUUCUUCCUCUCUCAGUCUCUAGCUCUCUCAGUCUCUAGCCUCUGAGCCUCUCACUCUCUCAGACUCUCUCCAGAUUUCACACAAAUCACGAUCUCAACCACUAUCACUCUCUCUCUCUCUCUCUCUCUCUCUCUCUCUCUCUCUCUCUCACCCGCUCUCUCUAAGUCACUCAGUCUCUCUCUCAACCGCUCUCGCUCGCCUCUGCCUCUCACAGUCUCUCGUCUCUGCCUCUGUUCGUUCUUCCUCUCAGUCACUUUCUCAGUCACCCGCUCUCUCUCAGUCACUCAUUCUCUCUCUCACUGGCUCUCUCUUAGUCGCUCUCACUGUCGUCUCCCUCAGCCGGUUUUGCUCUCUCUGUCUCUCGCUCAGCAACUAUCGCUCUCUUUCACCCGCUCUCUCUUAGUCAUCAAAGGUCUCCCUCUCUCGAUUUUUGUUGGUUUGAGAAUUGAUUUGAAGGCAAAUUUUUUCCAGAUUGGCUUGCUGGCUGUGUUUAUUUCUGAGGUGCAAAUCUGAUUUGAAUAUGAAACAACUCAUGGAAUUGUAUAUGUAUGUGUAAUAGAAAUUUAUUUGUUUUUAUUUGGAUUUACUUUUGAACUUUGCAAAUAUGCAAAUUGUGAUUGAGAUUACUCUCACAAUUUGCUAUGGACUGUAAUAAUAAUUUCUGUAUUUGGAGAUGUGUGGUGGAUGAUGAUUUGCUAUGGUUUUAAGGUUU